rnacentral:lncRNA from 1 species
UGGAAGCUACCUUUGAGAUUAUGUAAGCUUGUGACUUUCUCAUUUCAUAAAUGAGGAGCCCAAAGUCAGAGGCUGAAUGGAAACCAGAGGGCUCCUGACACUAUUCUUGUUGUUCUUGUAAUAAGAAAUUAUACCCUGGGUCAGUUUUGCCAUAUGCAAACAUCAGUUUACUGAACUUGUUCUUAUUGCCUCCCAGAGCGGGAGGAGGAUGAAAUGAUAAAAGCUUCGUCCCUAGUGCCUUGCCGGCUGGGCUGUGCUGAAACAGAGCCCACCAGGCCACACUGCAUCUGGAGUGCUCGUGGCAGCGUUUUUCCCUGGCCCACCCUGAAGUCCCACCUAUGCCGGGACGCUAUGGAAGGAAGCCGACGGGCGGUGUGGAGCAGCGCCUGGCCCCUUCUGUCCUCCAAGAGGCCACACCCGACACAAGGCCCUCAUUGUGUCUCGGGGAACAGUGACCCCCACAGUCCUACGCCGGCUGGCCUUCUUCGGGGGAAGCGCGCGGCGCUGGCUCCCGCGACCCCAGCCUGGCCAGG